UGCACCUACAGGCAGAAACAUUAUUCAGAGAAACAUGUCAUUAUAUUCCAAACAGGCUAUUAUUAUUAUUAUUAUUAUUAUUACUAUUAUUAUACGUUUUCCUUUUGUUUACAUUCCUUUAAGCUUAAAUGAAAAAAUGUUUUAGGAGCUAUAUUCAAGAAAACUAUCAACCUCGAAGGCUUAAACUCUGCAAAGGAAGAUGUCAGACAUGCUCAACUUUGCACCGCACUUCUCCCGGUUGGUCGCAGGAUAUAAAACUGCUCCACCUUGAGAUUGCUGCUUGCCAAGGAAAUGGUCAACAGUGACUAUGUUUACACAACUAUUUCCUGAAGGAGGAGGACUAAAAUACGUCCAUGCUUGUUCUUAUAAUAUAUGGCCAGUGGCCAGAAACCCAGAGUGAGUGGUGGGAGUGGCACAUACGAGAAGAAUGGCAGUGCAGGGUAGAAGGAAGGAAUGCGAGCAGAGCCAGGAACCCUGUAUCUCGGGCAGUUUGCGGAAGAGAUAAGACGCGCUCUCAGUGGCAGAUCCAUAAAUGGAAUGCUUAAAAGGGUACAGACUUGAGUGGUGUUCUAGACUCUAUCAGACAGCACGCUGAGAGCUCACGUGGCACAGCGGGUGUGUUUGCAGAGUACAGCUGGCCAAAAACAACAGUGUCUGAACUCAGGUCAGAUGCAAGACAAAACAGCCAUGACAUGGAGAACUGAAGGUCAUUAUUAUCUGUAAUCAUUCCAAACAUUUCCACUGAUAUCAUUUAAAAAUAACAUUGAGUUUUCCUUCCUCACCCAAAUACUCCUUCUUGGCAGCAAUUAUUUAUG